rnacentral:tRNA from 1 species
AGUUCUGUAGUGUAGAGGCACACUAGAUUGCAAACCUAGCAGCGCAAGGUAGCCCUUGCCAGAACUU